AUGAACGCUAGCUACAGGCUUAACACAUGCAAGUCGAGGGGCAUCAGGAAGAAAGCUUGCUUUCUUUGCUGGCGACCGGCGCACGGGUGAGUAACACGUAUCCAACCUGCCCUUUACUCGGGGAUAGCCUUUCGAAAGAAAGAUUAAUACCCGAUGGCAUAAUGAUUCCGCAUGGUUUCAUUAUUAAAGGAUUCCGGUAAAGGAUGGGGAUGCGUUCCAUUAGGUUGUUGGUGAGGUAACGGCUCACCAAGCCUUCGAUGGAUAGGGGUUCUGAGAGGAAGGUCCCCCACAUUGGAACUGAGACACGGUCCAAACUCCUACGGGAGGCAGCAGUGAGGAAUAUUGGUCAAUGGGCGCUAGCCUGAACCAGCCAAGUAGCGUGAAGGAUGAAGGCUCUAUGGGUCGUAAACUUCUUUUAUAUAAGAAUAAAGUGCAGUAUGUAUACUGUUUUGUAUGUAUUAUAUGAAUAAGGAUCGGCUAACUCCGUGCCAGCAGCCGCGGUAAUACGGAGGAUCCGAGCGUUAUCCGGAUUUAUUGGGUUUAAAGGGAGCGUAGGUGGACUGGUAAGUCAGUUGUGAAAGUUUGCGGCUCAACCGUAAAAUUGCAGUUGAUACUGUCAGUCUUGAGUACAGUAGAGGUGGGCGGAAUUCGUGGUGUAGCGGUGAAAUGCUUAGAUAUCACGAAGAACUCCGAUUGCGAAGGCAGCUCACUGGACUGCAACUGACACUGAUGCUCGAAAGUGUGGGUAUCAAACAGGAUUAGAUACCCUGGUAGUCCACACAGUAAACGAUGAAUACUCGCUGUUUGCGAUAUACAGUAAGCGGCCAAGCGAAAGCAUUAAGUAUUCCACCUGGGGAGUACGCCGGCAACGGUGAAACUCAAAGGAAUUGACGGGGGCCCGCACAAGCGGAGGAACAUGUGGUUUAAUUCGAUGAUACGCGAGGAACCUUACCCGGGCUUAAAUUGCAGUGGAAUGAUGUGGAAACAUGUCAGUGAGCAAUCACCGCUGUGAAGGUGCUGCAUGGUUGUCGUCAGCUCGUGCCGUGAGGUGUCGGCUUAAGUGCCAUAACGAGCGCAACCCUUAUCUUUAGUUACUAACAGGUCAUGCUGAGGACUCUAGAGAGACUGCCGUCGUAAGAUGUGAGGAAGGUGGGGAUGACGUCAAAUCAGCACGGCCCUUACGUCCGGGGCUACACACGUGUUACAAUGGGGGGUACAGAAGGCAGCUAGCGGGUGACCGUAUGCUAAUCCCAAAAUCCUCUCUCAGUUCGGAUCGAAGUCUGCAACCCGACUUCGUGAAGCUGGAUUCGCUAGUAAUCGCGCAUCAGCCACGGCGCGGUGAAUACGUUCCCGGGCCUUGUACACACCGCCCGUCAAGCCAUGGGAGCCGGGGGUACCUGAAGUGCGUAACCGCAAGGAGCGCCCUAGGGUAAAACUGGUGACUGGGGCU
rnacentral:rRNA from 1 species